rnacentral:rRNA from 1 species
UACGAAGGGGGGCUAGCGUUGCUCGGAAUCACUGGGCGUAAAGCGCACGUAGGCGGAUCUUUAAGUCAGGGGUGAAAUCCUGGAGCUCAACUCCAGAACUGCCUUUGAUAUUGGGGAUCUUGAGUCCGGAAGAGGUGAGUGGAACUCCGAGUGUAGAGGUGAAAAUUCGUAGAUAUUCGGAAGAACACCAGUGGCGAAGGCGGCUCACUGGUCCGGUACUGACGCUGAGGCGCGAAAGCUAGGGGAGCAAACAGGG